CUCAACACUGCGUGAACGGUUACGUCAGAUAGGUUGGAUGGUAGCAUUUUCGAAGUAACUGGAACGCGCUGUCUUUGCAUUAUUAACUUCAAAAGAAGUCUAAGUUUUAUAAAGUAAAGAACUAAGAAUACAUUAAAGGUAUUUUAAAUAUAUUCCCUACUUAGAGAAUUAUACUACGUGGACCAUAUUUUGGGAUCAUAGAUAAGGAAACUAACAUAUUAACCAACGGUCACAACGUAGUUCUUCGAAGUUAACACUGAUGAUCUAAGACAAAUUGAACUUAGCUUCAUUUGCUAAAGACAAGAAGAUCAUACUGUGGAGGGUAGCUCUCCACAUUCUCCUUUAUUUGGAACUGGUUCUGUGUGAAAACUUCCUGCAGUAUUUGUCACAAUGAGUGAGAUUUGGGUACAAUGCUUUACAUGUUGCAUGACAGAACAGCCUCCUCCCAAAAGACGAAGAAGGAUAGACCGCUCCAUGAUUGGAAGCCCUACUAAUUUCAGGCAUACUGCCCAUGUAGGUUCUGGUGAUGGCAGUGCUCAGGUGAAUCGACUACAGAAUCAAAUGGCUUCCAAAGGAGGGUAUGAAUAUUGUCUGCCAGUCAAUGUGCAUAUACCAGUUGUGGAUGUAAAGAACUAGAGCUCUUCAGUCACAAAAAUCACUGAGCAUGAGUCCUGAAAGAACCUCGAAGUUCAAUCUCUCACAGCAUCAGUCUUAAUAUUGCAGCAUUUGUGUAAAAGACAAAACUUCUUAUUAGACUAGUGAUCCCAUUCAGAGUAUUGACUGUGGACUUUGAGAGACUGGUGAAUUGUGAGAGACCAGGAAAAUCAUCUCAAGAUUUCUUCCUCAAAUGAUUUUAGAAUGUAGAAGUUUUCUUUCAAUUCUCUGCAGGAAAGCUACCACAAGAAUGUUGUGAAUUGGUGAUAAUUCAUGAAUGGAUUGCUUCUGUUUUUCAGUGACUGUCUGUUUUUCUUUGUUACAGAGACUAAACCUGAAUACUAAAGGGGUGUGUGUGUGUGGAUAUAUGCUGUAUAGUUUAAUAAUUUUAUUCUUAUAGUUAAGAAUUAAAAAUAGUACUGUGAAUGACCUUGUAUGUAAUUUUAAUAAAUUAGUUGCUGUUUACACAGGUGACUCUUUACAGUAUUAAAAAUACUUCCAAGGGAUAUUCAAGUAUACAUUUAAAAAGCCAACUGUUAAAACACCAGAAAUUUGUCAUUUUACUGCCUACCUUAGAUGAUUAAUUUAUAUUCGUGUAAAAAAAAAUUGACAUUUCUACUAAGCUUUUUAUUGCACUCUUGCUGUAUUUUGGAUUUAAGCCAUAAAAUAUUGGAAAUGUUUUGAAUUAAUUUUGUUCUUGAUCUCAUUUGUGCCUAAAAUUUUUUCUCUGUAGUUGAAUAAUGCAGUUACCAUUCUUUAGCUGUGCUUAAAAAAUAUUUACUGCAUGGUAGACUAUCUGAAGAACGUACGAUCAGGAAAGAUAGAAUAUAAUGCAUUUUUUCAUAGAAUAAAAUAACAAAAUCAUAAAACAACUAUUAAACUUAAUAGAAAUUAUAAUAUUUAAAGCUCAUAGAUGUAUGAAAAAUGCUGAGAAAUGUAAUAAUUUUAAAAUUCAAUGUUUAAAGUAGCAGAAAUGUAUAGUAUUGUUUGAUUCAUAGAUUUUAGAGGAUAUAAUGUUGUAACAUUCUCUCACUUUGACCAUUUAUGAAAUAUUAUAGUUGUGUUUUUCUAGUGUUAACUGUUAUGUAUGAAAAGAAAAACACGACUGAAGAGACUUGUGAAGAACUUCUGAUUCCAGUAAUGUUGUUCUCACAUGUUUUUCGUAUAAACUGUUUGUUUGUUUGUUUGUUUUAUCAGUCAUUUAAUAGGUGAAUGCUGUAUUUUAGAAAUAUGUUUAGAAGAAAAAAAUUAUUGGAUAACAUUUUAGAAAGUGUUAAAACAGUUUUUUUUUUUUAAAUGUAACAAAUUAAAAAAUUCUAAGACAUUUGACAAUAAGAAUGUAUAGUUGUCAAAAUUUAAUGAUUAUUGUUACUUGCUGUCAAAUUUAACGAUCAAAAUAAAUAUAUUGUAGCUGCCAAAACUUGCUGAUACCCGUAUGGAACUAUAUUAGAGUAAAAACCCAGAAUUAUUAAUAAACAGUAUAUAUUCGUAGCUUUAAAACAUAAUAAAUAAAUCAGAAACUGUAUUGUUCUCACAUUGAUUUGUGUACAUGUUUCUUAUUAAAAGCAGUUUUAUAUAUAGUGCUGUACUGAUGUACAAAGUGUUUUGAACAACCAUUUAAUUUUCCUUUUGUAUGAAAUGUUAAGUAACUUGGGGAUAAUAGUAGAGUGCAUUGUUUUAGUGUGGGUGUAAUUUUUUAACUAAUCAUUAACAGAUAUGCAUAAUUUAUUUUGAAUUUCUUCAGUAGAAAUGUUGUCAGUCUACCUUCUGUAUUUGAAUUGUUUUUAUAUAGAUUUAAGACUAAUGAAAGUUACAUUUUUUAGUCAUUUCAAAACAAACAUUCGUAAAAGUAAAGGCUUUGAUUGCUAACUAUAUUGUUCAUUGAAUAAUAUUUUAAAAUGUGUUUAAUUUGGAAAUUAUUCAGUAUUUAAAUGUGAAAUGUUAAUUCUUUUUUAAACUAAAAGUUUUUAUUAAGAAUUAAUGUAAUAAACUGCUCUUCAGCUAUGAAUUCUAAAGGAUAUUUGUUUUCUGUAUUGUUCAACCAAGUUUUAUAAUCUGUCUUCUGGUUCUGAUCUGUAGAUAAUGUGUUUGUCUGUGUAGACACAGAACCAAUAAAAGAAAUGUUACUAUCAACACUGUUAUAAGAGAAUUUUAAACAAGUUAUAAAUAAUAAAUAUGUUCAUGAUAGA
rnacentral:misc_RNA from 1 species